UCUCACAGUGACACUCUACGAGGAAAUCCGGAGACUGUGGUGUAACCCAGGUGUGCAAUCGGGCACUUCACACCUCUUGAGGGCACAGGGUUUUGACUCAACUUAAAUCAUUCCUACAGUGAGUCAGUCAGCGUGUCACGGAACUACAGCACAUCUGUGGUGAAAUAGGUGAGGCAGGGGACGGACACUGCACGUGGUAGGCAUUUAACGAACCUGAGACCCCUUUUCCUUUCCCUUUCCCCCUACUCUGCCCACUGCCGCUGUGGAUGCUGGGAUUUCCCUUUCAGCCAGCAUGGUCCCUUCCAAGGGGCCUUUCCUUUGUAAGGCAUCUUACUGAUCACCUUUUGACUCUUCUUCCUCCUGUCUUCCUACUUUCAGAAGGCCCUCUGCACCCCAACCUUCACAAGGUGCCCUCAGACCAGCAUGGAACUGCUCUAUUCCCUCGUCCAUACAAUGGGGAUAAUGUUAGCACCCACCUCAAAAGUUUGUUGGAUGCUUUUAAUGAAAUAGUACAAAUAAGAUACGAAGCCCAACAUAGAGUAAGCACUCAAUAAGUGCUUGUCUUUCUUGUUGUUAUCACUGGAGCGAUUCCACCGAGGUGCUGCCUGGGAGCUGCCCACACCUCCUCCAGAAGGGAAUUGCAAGAUGCCCAGGCUUCUCCCAUCCUUGAGCAAUGCAAGGAUUUGUAUAAGAAAUUUUUAUUAGAAUGAACCAUGUGAUGAUCCAUGACAUUAGAAAGAAGUUCAACUUUAUAGACAAGAAAUUUCAUUUACAAAAUCAGCAAAGAUGAAUAAAAAUAAGUUGCAGUAAACAGACUUUUUCAGACCAGUGGAGGGAAGUUAGGAGGAAGUGGCACAACCGGGAGAAAGAACGCCCACAGAGGUCACACUGGAGCAGGAGCCCAGAUCUUGUCUGGUUGUCCCCAACAAGAAAACUGACAUAGCAACCGGACAGACCUGUGAUGCCUCGGAGGGAGAGGAGCCCUCGGGAGCGGUGCAGCACAGAGCUUGCUGCCUCAGCUGCCUCUCAGCCUGCCAGCUCGAGAGGUGUCCUUGCAAGACUGCAUGUGGCCGUGGAAUAGUGGCUCUCCCACUCAGGGGACAUAAAUGCAUGGGUUUGGGAAUAUGGAAAACUUUCGGGGGGAGAGCGGAAGAAGAUGAGCAUUUGUUGAGAACUUCCCACAUGCUAGGUGCUACGUAUACUGUUUGACAUACAGUAUUCGCAAUUUUGCAUCAAAUCUGUGUUGUGACUAUCGUUACUUCCAUGUUACACCGAAGGACACGGGCUCAGAGGCGCAGCCAGGGCUGCUGCAAGUGCGACGUGUGCAUUGCUCCAAGAGGUGCUCUUUGCUUUGUGGUUAUAGUGGCCAGAGGUGGGGCCAGUAAGUCCCUUUCCCAGGCCACACAGCAAGAGAAGGCAGAGCUGGGAUUGGAGGCCAUGCUCUUUCUGCUGCACCAAUCUUUGGAGACCCCACAGCAACUGAACUACUUUCCCCCCUCUCCUUAGAGAAAGUUCCAUUUGUGUAUUCUGAAAUCAAAUGCAGGUGCAUGGAGUUUUAUCCAAAAUGACAGUGACCUCUCAGAAGGAAAAGUGAGAAUCUGCUACGUGUGACACCCGCUGCUGUCCCAGGUGUCGGGCUAUUAUCAGUGAGACACAGAGUCCACGGAAGUCUGGCCUGGACUGUGACCCGAACCAGGUGGCUUUGGUUGGGAUGACGUCAAUCUGAAGACUGAGUUCAACGCUCAGUUAGAGAUGUCCUACCCACAGAAGUUUGGUUUCAGGUUUGGCAUGGGACCUACCGAGCAUCUCAAUUUUUAAAAGCUCCCUGGUGAUGCUAAUGACAGCCAGGGCCGAGAAGCCCUCAGCAAUCAGCCCUUCCUCCUGGGGAGGGAGGGGAAGCCGGAGGAGGCAGGUGGCUCGCUCAGCACCCAGCUGGUUAGUGUGGCUACUGAGAGCGUGAUUCCCAUUGGAUCCUCUGUUGUGCCUCAGAGGGGCAGGAAAAGGUGAAGCAGGGGAAGGAGAAAGAGGUGGAUAACUGUUGGAAGAGAGAGAGAUGCCAUGCGUGUCUCUUAGGGUAGGUGGUGGGGGCAGUGAGGAGGCAGCUAGUUGUUCCCUGGGCCUGCUCAGCACGCGCUUACCCACCACGCCACAGUGAGCUGAUCCCUGGAGGAUAUCACUGUUGUGAGCAGAAACCAGAUAUGACUCAGGCCAGGAAAUUGCCUGCUCCUGUUACUAGUGCGGGUGAGAGGCAAAGCUGUUGUAAGACAAACACCUAAGAAUACAGCGGCUUAAAGAACCUCAUGGCGGGCGGGGCCCGGAAGGAGGUUUGUUUCUCUCAUUCAGCAGUGUGGUGAGUAGCUGAGCUCAUUUGUCCACAAGGGCAAGCGGGUCCCAGCACCGCCCCGGCAUCAAACCGCCGACUAAGUGGGGCCCGGAAAGAAUAUGCGGGCACUUAGGUGACAGAGGCCACUUCUGCUCAUUUCCCAGCGAUGAAAACGGAGUCCCCUGGAAGCAAGGGGCACUGAGGAAUGAGGCCCUUCCUGGCAGCCAGUGCCCAGCCACAGCUGUUCCUCUCGAAGGAGAAGACAGAUUUUGGAAGCCCUCAAAGGAACUUGCUCCUGGUGCCUCUCCACCCAUUCUUCCAGUCAAGAAGCAUUUUGAGCACCGCCUGGAGUUGGCCAGGCCUGGGAGUGGGCACAGAGCAGGGUGCUUUAGGACAGGGAACACUCCCCAGAGGCUGUUUGGACUGAGUUGUGAAGAUGAAUAGGCAUGCGAAGAAGGGAAUGCCAGGCAGGAGACAGCUAGCUGUGCAAAGGUUGGGAGGUGGAUGGGAUGAGGGAAGGGUUGAAUGUGACAAAGUGCCUGGUGGUGGCCAGAGAGAACGGUGGGGCCAGACCGUGCAGACUCUCUCAUGAAGCUAGAACAUCUGCAUGUGAAAGGAAACUUUGGGGGGAUUGACCCCGAAAUUUUAACCUUCAUUGAAAAGAAAGUUACAUCUCCUAGGACAAUGCAAACGAAGGAGAAAAUAAACAAAUGGGACUAUAUCAAAAUAAAAAAGCUUCUGCACAGCAACAAAACAAAACAAAAACAAACAACAACAAAAAACCCAUCAA